GUCCUAGAGGAGAGAAUUCGGGAGCAGUGGGGGAAACUGCUCCCUGGGAAAAUAGCAAGGAGAAGUUCUUAUUCAGAAACAAACUCCAGCCUGAAAGAGCAGCAAGGAUUCUUAACCACUGAACCUCUUCUCCAGGUGGCUGUCCUGGUCAUUUCAUGGUUUCUAAGUAUCAACUAAUACAGCCUCCAAAACUUACGUAGACCAAGCCAGGUGACCCAUGCCAGCACUCAGGAGACCGAGACAGGAGGAGCAUGGCAAGUUCAAGGCCAGCCUGAGCUACAUGGUGAGGCCCUGACUCAAACAGCAGCAACAAAAAAUAGAGCAACUUAGAGCUGAGACUGAA